rnacentral:rRNA from 1 species
AUGUGGUUAAUUCGAUGAUACGCGAGGAACCUUACCUGGGCUUAAAUGUAGAGUGCAUUUUUUAGAGAUAGAAAUUCCCUUCGGGGCUUUCUGCAAGGUGCUGCAUGGUUGUCGUCAGCUCGUGCCGUGAGGUGUCGGGUUAAGUCCCAUAACGAGCGCAACCCUUAUCGUUAGUUGCCAUCUGGUAAUGCAGGGGACUCUAGCGAAACUGCCACCGUAAGGUGAGAGGAAGUGGGGAUGACGUCAAAUCAGCACGGCCCUUAUGUCCAGGGCUACACACGUGUUACAAUGGUCGGUACAGAGGGCAGCUACCUGGUGACAGGAUGCUAAUCUCGAAAACCGGUCUCAGUUCGGAUCGAAGUCUGCAACUCGACUUCGUGAAGCUGGAUUCGCUAGUAAUCGCGCAUCAGCUAUGGCGCGGUGAAUACGUUCCCGGGCCUU